rnacentral:rRNA from 1 species
GCUGAAGCCUGGUGCUUGCACCGGGUGGAUGAGUGGCGAACGGGUGAGUAACACGUGAGUAACCUGCCCCUGACUUCGGGAUAAGCCCGGGAAACUGGGUCUAAUACCGGAUACGACCGUCGGACGCAUGUCUGGUGGUGGAAAGUUUUUUCGGUUGGGGAUGGGCUCGCGGCCUAUCAGUUUGUUGGUGAGGUAAUGGCUCACCAAGACGACGACGGGUAGCCGGCCUGAGAGGGCGACCGGCCACACUGGGACUGAGACACGGCCCAGACUCCUACGGGAGGCAGCAGUGGGGAAUAUUGCACAAUGGGGGAAACCCUGAUGCAGCGACGCAGCGUGCGGGAUGACGGCCUUCGGGUUGUAAACCGCUUUCAGCAGGGAAGAAGCGCAAGUGACGGUACCUGCAGAAGAAGUACCGGCUAACUACGUGCCAGCAGCCGCGGUAAUACGUAGGGUACGAGCGUUGUCCGGAAUUAUUGGGCGUAAAGAGCUCGUAGGUGGUUGGUCACGUCUGCUGUGGAAACGCAACGCUUAACGUUGCGCGUGCAGUGGGUACGGGCUGACUAGAGUGCAGUAGGGGAGUCUGGAAUUCCUGGUGUAGCGGUGAAAUGCGCAGAUAUCAGGAGGAACACCGGUGGCGAAGGCGGGACUCUGGGCUGUAACUGACACUGAGGAGCGAAAGCAUGGGGAGCGAACAGGAUUAGAUACCCUGGUAGUCCAUGCCGUAAACGUUGGGCACUAGGUGUGGGGGGCAUUCCACGUUCUCCGCGCCGUAGCUAACGCAUUAAGUGCCCCGCCUGGGGAGUACGGUCGCAAGGCUAAAACUCAAAGGAAUUGACGGGGGCCCGCACAAGCGGCGGAGCAUGCGGAUUAAUUCGAUGCAACGCGAAGAACCUUACCAAGGCUUGACAUACACCAGACCGUCCUGGAAACAGGUCCUCUUCUUUGAAGCUGGUGUACAGGUGGUGCAUGGUUGUCGUCAGCUCGUGUCGUGAGAUGUUGGGUUAAGUCCCGCAACGAGCGCAACCCUCGUUCUAUGUUGCCAGCACGUGAUGGUGGGAACUCAUAGGAGACUGCCGGGGUCAACUCGGAGGAAGGUGGGGAUGACGUCAAAUCAUCAUGCCCUU